CGUUAAGUCGACCGCCUGGGGAGUACGGCCGCAAGGUUAAAACUCAAAUGAAUUGACGGGGGCCCGCACAAGCGGUGGAGCAUGUGGUUUAAUUCGAUGCAACGCGAAGAACCUUACCUACUCUUGACAUCCACGGAAUUCGGCAGAGAUGCCUUAGUGCCUUCGGGAACCGUGAGACAGGUGCUGCAUGGCUGUCGUCAGCUCGUGUUGUGAAAUGUUGGGUUAAGUCCCGCAACGAGCGCAACCCUUAUCCUUUGUUGCCAGCGAUUCGGUCGGGAACUCAAAGGAGACUGCCGGUGAUAAACCGGAGGAAGGUGGGGAUGACGUCAAGUCAUCAUGGCCCUUACGAGUAGGGCUACACACGUGCUACAAUGGCGCAUACAAAGAGAAGCGACCUCGCGAGAGCAAGCGGACCUCAUAAAGUGCGUCGUAGUCCGGAUCGGAGUCUGCAACUCGACUCCGUGAAGUCGGAAUCGCUAGUAAUCGUGGAUCAGAAUGCCACGGUGAAUACGUUCCCGGGCCUUGUACACACCGCCCGUCACACCAUGGG
rnacentral:rRNA from 1 species